AUGUUUGGCGUUUUUCAUAGGGUCGUUAGUUAAUAGAUGUAUGACACUAUGUUUUUCAUUUUUAAACAGAAAGGAUAGGCGAGUGAUUGGCUCAUAUAUUACAAGAUGACCGAAACCCGUGAUGACAAGUAUAAUGUUAAAGUGGAUGAUGAGGAAACAGAAUUACCUUCAAAUAGCACGAUGACGGUACGCGUAAAGACAAAUAGUGGCACGUCGAGUAAUUCAAAGGGCUCCAUUGAAAGCAUAUUGUGUUUCAAGAGUGAUCAACAAGA